rnacentral:rRNA from 1 species
UACGAAGGGGGCUAGCGUUGCUCGGAAUGACUGGGCGUAAAGGGUGUGUAGGCGGUUGUUUAAGUUUGGUGUGAAAUCUCCCGGCUCAACCGGGAGGGUGCGCCGAAUACUGAAUGACUUGGAGUGCGGGAGAGGAAAGUGGAAUUCCUGGUGUAGCGGUGAAAUGCGUAGAUAUCAGGAGGAACACCGGUGGUGUAGACGGCUUUCUGGACCGUAACUGACGCUGAGACACGAAAGCGUGGGGAGCAAACAGG